CACCAGACUCCUACGGGAGGCAGCAGUGGGGAAUAUUGCACAAUGGGGGAAACCCUGAUGCAGCGACGCCGCGUGAGCGAUGAAGUAUUUCGGUAUGUAAAGCUCUAUCAGCAGGGAAGAAGAUGACGGUACCUGACUAAGAAGCCCCGGCUAACUACGUGCCAGCAGCCGCGGUAAUACGUAGGGGGCAAGCGUUAUCCGGAUUUACUGGGUGUAAAGGGAGCGUAGACGGCGAUGCAAGCCAGAUGUGAAAGCCCGGGGCUCAACCCCGGGACUGCAUUUGGAACUGUGUGGCUGGAGUGUCGGAGAGGCAGGCGGAAUUCCUAGUGUAGCGGUGAAAUGCGUAGAUAUUAGGAGGAACACCAGUGGCGAAGGCGGCCUGCUGGACGAUGACUGACGUUGAGGCUCGAAAGCGUGGGGAGCAAACAGGAUUAGAUCCCCUAGUA
rnacentral:rRNA from 1 species